UACGUAGGGGGCAAGCGUUGUCCGGAUUCAUUGGGCGUAAAGAGCGUGUAGGCGGCCUGGAAGGUCAGCUGUGAAAACUCGAGGCUCAACCUCGAGACGUCGGUUGAAACCACCUGGCUAGAGUCCGGAAGAGGAGUGUGGAAUUCCCGGUGUAGCGGUGAAAUGCGCAGAUAUCGGGAAGAACACCCGUGGCGAAGGCGGCACUCUGGGACGGUACUGACGCUGAGACGCGAAAGCGUGGGGAGCGAACAGG
rnacentral:rRNA from 1 species